rnacentral:rRNA from 1 species
AGCUGGUUGGUGAGGUAAAGGCUCACCAAGGCGACGAUCUGUAGCGGGUCUGAGAGGAUGAUCCGCCACACUGGAACUGAGACACGGUCCAGACUCCUACGGGAGGCAGCAGUGGGGAAUUUUGGACAAUGGGGGCAACCCUGAUCCAGCCAUGCCGCGUGAGUGAAGAAGGCCUUCGGGUUGUAAAGCUCUUUCGGCCGGGAAAAAAUCGCAUAGGUUAAUACCCUGUGUGGAUGAUGGUACCGGAAUAAGAAGCACCGGCUAACUACGUGCCAGCAGCCGCGGUAAUACGUAGGGUGCGAGCGUUAAUCGGAAUUACUGGGCGUAAAGCGUGCGCAGGCGGUUUGAUAAGACAGGCGUGAAAUCCCCGGGCUCAACCUGGGAACUGCGUUUGUGACUGUCUCACUAGAGUACGGCAGAGGGGGGUGGAAUUCCACGUGUAGCAGUGAAAUGCGUAGAGAUGUGGAGGAACACCAAUGGCGAAGGCAGCCCCCUGGGUCGAUACUGACGCUCAUGCACGAAAGCGUGGGUAGCAAACAGGAUUAGAUACCCUGGUAGUCCACGCCCUAAACGAUGUCAACUAGGUGUUGGGAGGGUAAAACCUUUUAGUACCGUAGCUAACGCGAGAAGUUGACCGCCUGGGGAGUACGGCCGCAAGGUUAAAACUCAAAGGAAUUGACGGGGACCCGCACAAGCGGUGGAUGAUGUGGAUUAAUUCGAUGCAACGCGAAAAACCUUACCUACCCUUGACAUGUUCAGGAGUCCGAAGAGAUUUGGAUGUGCUCGAAAGAGAACUGGAACACAGGUGCUGCAUGGCUGUCGUCAGCUCGUGUCGUGAGAUGUUGGGUUAAGUCCCGCAACGAGCGCAACCCUUGUCGUUAAUUGCCAUCAUUUAGUUGGGCACUUUAACGAGACUGCCGGUGACAAACCGGAGGAAGGUGGGGAUGACGUCAAGUCCUCAUGGCCCUUAUGGGUAGGACUUCACACGUCAUACAAUGGUCGGUACAAAGGGUUGCCAACCCGCGAGGGGGAGCUAAUCCCAUAAAGCCGAUCGUAGUCCGGAUCGCAGGCUGCAACUCGCCUGCGUGAAGUCGGAAUCGCUAGUAAUCGUGGAUCAGCAUGUCACGGUGAAUACGUUCCCGGGUCUUGUACACACCGCCCGUCACACCAUGGGAGCGGGUUCCGCCAGAAGUAGGUAGCCUAACCGCAAGGAGGGCGCUUACCACGGCGGGGUUCGUGACUGGGGUGAAGUCGUAACAAGGUA